GCCGAUGUGGCUCAGUGGUAGAGCAGCUCACUCGUAAUGAGCAGGUCGUGGGUUCGACUCCCACCAUCGGCUCCA
rnacentral:tRNA from 1 species